GUAGACGCUAUACUCUAAGAUUAACCCAUGCAUGUUUAUUGAAUAUAAAGAAAAGACGAACAGCUCAGUAACUCUUAUUUGAUUUGAUGUAUUAGGAUUCUAACUAUGUUAAAUUAUAGGUAACAAUAAUACAAUAAGAAUAAGAUCUAUCAGUUAGUUGUUAAGGUAAUGGCUUAACAAGACUAUGACGGAUAACGGUAUUACUUUGUAAUAUUCCGGAGAAGGAGCCUGAGAGAUUGCUACUAAGUCUAAGGAUUGCAGCAGGGGCGAAACUUGACCUAUGAUAUUAUAUUGAGGCAGUUAUGAGUAGUAUUUUAUAAUUAUUGUAGUAUUGUAAGUACAUAUUACAAGAUAAAUCGGAGGGCAAAUCGAGUGCCAGCAGCCGCGGUAAUACUUGUUCCGAUAGUGUGUAUGAUGAUUGAUGCAGUUAAAAAGUCUGUAGUUUAUUUAUAAUAAGCAUUGUAAGGUAUACUGUAUGGUUAGGAGAGAGAUGAAAUGUGAUAACCCUAACUGGAUGAACAGAAGCGAAAGCUGUAUACUUAAAUGUAUUAUUAGAACAAGGACGUAAGCUAGAGGAUCGAAGAUGAUUAGAUACCAUUGUAGUUCUAGCAGUAAACUAUGUUGAAUCAUAGAUAUAUUUUGAUAUAUAUUUAUGUAGAGAAAUUAAGAUUAUAUUGACUCUGGGGAUAGUAUGAUCGCAAGAUUGAAAAUUAAAGAAAUUGACGGAAGAAUACCACAAGGAGUGGAUUGUGCGGCUUAAUUUGACUCAACGCGGGGUAAUUUACCAGGUAUAACAUGAUAUAAUAUUUUAUCAUGAUAGUGGUGCAUGGCCGUUUUCAAUGGAUGCUGUGAAGUAAUGAUUAAUUUCAACAAGAUGUGAGACCCUCAUUUAGACAGAUGUAGUGAUACAUAUGAAGGAGAGGAUUAAAACAGGUCCGUUAUGCCCUAAGAUAAUCUGGGUUGCACGCGCAAUACAAUAAUAUUUGAUAUUAUAAGGGAUAAUAUAAUGUAAGAUAUAUUUGAACAUGGAAUUGCUAGUAAAUUUUAUUUAAUAAGUAGAAUUGAAUGAGUCCCUGUUCUUUGUACACACCGCCCGUCGCUAUCUAAGAUGGUAUUAUCUAUGAACAAAUUUAUAAAGUGAAUAGAUAGUACUAGAUCUGAUAU
rnacentral:rRNA from 1 species